UUUUGAUUGAAAAUAGUAUAUGGAUUAAAAUUGCUAAUUUUUAAAAAAUAGGGAUCAAAAUGUAAAUUAUGGUUUAGGGGCUUUUGAGUGAGGGGUUAAUGGUUUAAUAACUUGAACUAUCUUAUUCUUCAAUUCUAUCAAUUUGGUUCAUAAGUUGCUCAUUUUGUUUCAUUUGUAUUCAAUGGGUUUGGGCAUAUGCACAUGGUAAUGUUUUGCUGAG
rnacentral:misc_RNA from 1 species